rnacentral:lncRNA from 1 species
CUGGUCCAAUUGUUCCAGCUGCAGAACCUCACUCAACAUCUAAUGCUGAUAUUGCUCAGUUGUGUAAAAAUUCUUCUACUGUUACAUCCAAUUUGAAUGUGUCCAGUGAACAGGUGGUGUCAAAUAGGGCAGGGGCUUUUCCUAAUGUGACUGCUGAUGCAGGACAAAAUAAUGUUUCUGCUCCAAUUGUUCUAACUGCAG